rnacentral:rRNA from 1 species
UGGGGAGUCUUGCACAAUGGUCGAAAGGCUGAUGCAGCGACGCCGCGUGGGGGAAGAAGGCCCUCGGGUUGUAAACCCCUGUCAGGUGGGAAGAACUCCUCAACCUUAACACCGUUGAGGCUGACGCUACCACCAGAGGAAGCGCCAGCUAACUUCGUGCCAGCAGCUGCGGUAAGACGAAGGGCGCAAGCGUUGCUCGGAAUCACUGGGCGUACAGGGUCCGCAGGCGGCCCAGCAACUCAGGCGUGAAAACUUGUGGCUCAACCACAAGCGUGCGUCCGAUAGUGCUGGGCUCGAGUGCGGGAAGGGAGAGUGGAACUGCGGGUGGAGCGGUGAAAUGCGUAGAUAUCCGCAGGAACACCGGAGGCGAAAGCGACUCUCUAGCCCGUCACUGACGCUCAGGGACAAAAGCUAGGGUAGCGAACG